UACGGAGGGUGCAAGCGUUGUCCGGAUUUAUUGGGUUUAAAGGGUGCGUAGGCGGCCCGGUAAGUCAGUGGUGAAAGCCUCCAGCUCAACUGGAGAACUGCCAUUGAUACUGCCGGGCUUGAGUACAGACGAGGUUGGCGGAAUUGAUUGUGUAGCGGUGAAAUGCGUAGAUAUCGGGAGGAACACCAGUGGCGAAGGCGGCUACCUGGGCCAGUUCUGACGCUGAGGCGCGAAAGCGUGGGGAGCAAACAGG
rnacentral:rRNA from 1 species